rnacentral:lncRNA from 12 species
AUAUGAUAUGUUUAUACUGUCUAUAUUUUUAACUUACUUUAAAAAUAUAGCAAUAUUCUAUAGGAGUUUUCUCAGGGUAAAUAUUCUUUUUUAAAAAAUAUUUUUAUUUUAUUUAUUUAUUCAUGAGAGAGACAGAAACAUAGGCAGAGGGAGAAUCAGGCUCCCUACAGGGAGUCUGAUGUGGGACUCAAUCCCGGGACCCUGGGAUCACACCCUGAGCCAAAGGCAGACACUCAACCGCUGAGCCACCCAGGUGCCCCAAGGGGACAUAUUCUUCUAAAUGUGAUCUUAAUUGGUGAUUAAUUUUUAUUGUGCAAGUUACUUAAUGAGUUUAACCCAAGUUGUAAGAUAUUUAGGUAGUUUCUAAUCUUCACUGUCAUAAACAGCAGUGAUAAUAUGCAUGCCUCUGUUUUUCUUCUACUUUAGCCAAUUUCGUACACAUACGAUGCAUUGCAAAGAAAGGAGAAUAUGAAUUUCACUUCAGGAUGCAGCUUCCUUGGUCCCUGUUUUUUGCACAUGAUCAGUUGAUCUCCUUUGAUGUAUCUUGGGGAAACCUGGUGUGGCCGGAGGACCCGUGGCUCGGGGUU